AGUGAACGCUGGCGGUAGGCCUAACACAUGCAAGUCGAACGGCAGCACGGUAAGAGCUUGCUCUUACGGGUGGCGAGUGGCGGACGGGUGAGGAAUACAUCGGAAUCUACUUUUUCGUGGGGGAUAACGUAGGGAAACUUACGCUAAUACCGCAUACGACCUACGGGUGAAAGCAGGGGAUCUUCGGACCUUGCGCGAUUGAAUGAGCCGAUGUCGGAUUAGCUAGUUGGCGGGGUAAAGGCCCACCAAGGCGACGAUCCGUAGCUGGUCUGAGAGGAUGAACAGCCACACUGGAACUGAGACACGGUCCAGACUCCUACGGGAGGCAGCAGUGGGGAAUAUUGGACAAUGGGCGCAAUCCUGAUCCAGCCAUACCGCGUGGGUGAAGAAGGCCUUCGGGUUGUAAAGCCCUUUUGUUGGGAAAGAAAAGCAGCAGGUUAAUACCCCGCUGUUCUGACGGUACCCAAAGAAUAAGCACCGGCUAACUUCGUG
rnacentral:rRNA from 1 species